rnacentral:tRNA from 1 species
GUAGAUUUAGUUUAACUAAAACAUUAGAUUGUGAUUCUGAAGACAGAGGUUAAAGUCCCCUAAUCCACC